rnacentral:rRNA from 1 species
UACGGAAGGCAGCAGUGGGGAAUAUUGCACAAUGGGCGCAAGCCUGAUGCAGCCAUGCCGCGUGUAUGAAGAAGGCCUUCGGGUUGUAAAGUACUUUCAGUCGUGAGGAAGGUGUUAAGGUUAAUAACCUUAGCAAUUGACGUUAGCGACAGAAGAAGCACCGGCUAACUCCGUGCCAGCAGCCGCGGUAAUACGGAGGGUGCGAGCGUUAAUCGGAAUUACUGGGCGUAAAGGGCACGCAGGCGGUUAAUUAAGUUGGAUGUGAAAUCCCCGGGCUUAACCUGGGAAUGGCAUUCAAGACUGGUUAGCUAGAGUCUUGUAGAGGGGGUAGAAUUCCAUGUGUAGCGGUGAAAUGCGUAGAGAUGUGGAGGAAUACCGGUGGGCGAAGGCGGCCCCUGGGACAAAGGACUGACGCUCAUGUGCGAAAGCGUGGGGAGCGAAACAGGGAUUAGAUACC